rnacentral:rRNA from 1 species
UUCUUUAAGAAAAAAUUUAAAGCCCAGCCUGCUCAAUGAUAAAAUUAAAUAGCCGCAGUAUAUACUGUGCUAAGGUAGCAUAAUAAUUAGCUUCCCAAUUAGAAGAUAGAAUGAAUGGCUAAACGAAUUAUAACCUGUCUCAAUAAUAACCAUUAAAUUAAAAUAUUAGUCAAAAUCCUAAUACAAACAUGAAAGACGACAAGACCCCGAUAAACUUAACAUUUAAUUGGGGCAAUACAAUAAAAAAACCUUAAUAUGCUUAAAUAUAACUAUAAAAUAUAAUUUAAAAUAGUUACUACGGGGAUAACAGCGCAAUUCUUUUUAAGAGCUCUAAUUUAAAAAAGACAUUACGACCUCGAUGUUGAAUUAAUUAUCUUUAAUGGGGUAACAUCUAUUAAAGUCAGGUCUGUUCGACCACAUAAAAU